AGAGUUUGAUCCUGGCUCAGGACGAACGCUGGCGGCGUGCUUAACACAUGCAAGUCGAACGGAAAGGCCCCUUUCGGGGGGUGCUCGAGUGGCGAACGGGUGAGUAACACGUGGGUGAUCUGCCCUGCACUUCGGGAUAAGCUUGGGAAACUGGGUCUAAUACCGGAUAGGACUACGGCCUGCAUGGGUUGUGGUGGAAAGUUUUUAAUGGUGUGGGAUGGGCCCGCGGCCUAUCAGCUUGUUGGUGGGGUGAUGGCCUACCAAGGCGACGACGGGUAGCCGGCCUGAGAGGGUGUCCGGCCACACUGGGACUGAGAUACGGCCCAGACUCCUACGGGAGGCAGCAGUGGGGAAUAUUGCACAAUGGGCGCAAGCCUGAUGCAGCGACGCCGCGUGGGGGAUGACGGCCUUCGGGUUGUAAACCUCUUU
rnacentral:rRNA from 1 species